UUACGCCCAUAUCACGCUGAAACACAGGUUCCCGUACAACCACUGAAGUUACGUGACGUUAAGCCUGGUCAGUAGCUAGAUGGGUGACCGCUUAGGAAUACCAGAUGCUGA